UGAGGAAUAUUGGUCAAUGGGCGGGAGCCUGAACCAGCCAAGCCGCGUGAGGGAUGAAGGCCCUAUGGGUCGUAAACCUCUUUUGUCAGGGAACAAAAGCGAGUAUGUAUACUAGUCUGAGUGUACCUGAAGAAAAAGCAUCGGCUAACUCCGUGCCAGCAGCCGCGGUAAUACGGAGGAUGCGAGCGUUAUCCGGAUUUAUUGGGUUUAAAGGGUGCGUAGGCGGCGAUGCAAGUCAGCGGUAAAAGCCCGGGGCUCAACCCCGGCGAGCCGUUGAAACUGCAGUGCUAGAGAAGGCGAGAGGUACGCGGAAUGCGCAGUGUAGCGGUGAAAUGCUUAGAUAUUGCGCAGAACUCCGGUUGCGAAGGCAGCGUACUGGCGCCUGACUGACGCUGAGGCACGAAAGCGUGGGGAUCGAACAGGAUUAGAUACC
rnacentral:rRNA from 1 species